UACAGAGGGUGCAAACGUUGCUCGGAGUUACUGGGCGUAAAGCGCGUGUAGGCGGCUUAGCAAGUCGGGCGUGAAAGCCCUCGGCUCAACCGAGGAAGUGCACCCGAAACUGCUGAGCUUGAGUGCCGGAGAGGAUGGCGGAAUUCCCCAAGUAGAGGUGAAAUUCGUAGAUAUGGGGAGGAACACCGGUGGCGAAGGCGGCCAUCUGGACGGUAACUGACGCUGAGACGCGAAAGCGUGGGUAGCAAACAGG
rnacentral:rRNA from 1 species